AAACCUUUUUGAAAAAAACACCAAUGAAAAAGCCAAAGUUUAAGUCUGCAAAAUCGUUUUCGGGAGCUUAGAAGUAAUUCAUUUGUCGUCUCAGUCGCAAAAGAAUUUUAAUGAAAUCCGCAAUGAGGAUUUCUAAGUCAAAAAGCCCAUAGAAAAUUCCCCACAUAUGCUACAAGAUCUACCUGUAGAUAAUUUACCAUCAAAAGCCAAAUUGCCACAGAGUGAAGAGUGAGGGCAUAUGAUGGCUUUAUAAGAGGGGCCUCACUCUCCGUUUGGGCAGCUCUAAGGUAGAAUUUUAACCUCACGAGCCAGUUUUAAAUGCAAUGAAAAAGGGAAUUUUACAUAAUGUAUAUGUGUGUGCCUCAAGUAGACAUCCAGAACAAUUGUAUGUAAUUUAUUUUGAGUGGAUUCGUAAAUACAUGCCUUUUGUAACCCCGUCCGUUACUUAUAUUUGCACUAUAACGCUCGAUUCCACCAGCAUAAAGGGCAAAUAUGUACAAAUUCGUAGUUGAAAUAGUUGCAGCAUCACAGAAAAGGGAGUCACCACCAAAGAUGCCAUCAUGCAUAUGAGCUAAAGUGCCAACUGUACAAUUAAUUGUAAUUUUAAUUGCAUACAUAUUCCAACAUCCCCCGUAAUGAGAGUCACUCGCUAGUUGCAGAGACUACUCAUAUAUAUGAACUCGGCGUUUUGAACGUGAUUCUGAAAGAGGGUAAUGAUCCACACAGGAGAAUGCACAAAUCGCUCCUGGCUUCCGUUCCACACUGUUACAUAUACAUUUCAGGAGAUGACUUUUCAGCAAACUUGUUCGGAAUUUCACACAAGUUUGGAGGCUCAGUAGUAUUCAGUCGGAGUACGAGGGUAAAAGUCUACUUACUUUGUAUAGUUGCCCACCAAGUAAAAAGUAUUUAAUGGAGAUUUGAGAAGGGAUAUAUUUUCCCUACUUUCCUAUAAACUGUUUCUAAACUAGUUGUUUCCUUAAACUUUUUACAUUAACCUAUGGAUUUGUCUUUAAAACAAAGAGAAAGAUCCUGAAUUCCAGGAUCUUUGUUAAACAGGAUUAACUUAAAAUCAGAUAGGGUAAGUGCACCAAAUUUCGGUAUAGUUGUAU